UUUCAUUAAACAUUUGCUACAGUAUAAUCGGCACCCGGUGAAUCUUGCUUAGUGGCAGGGCAGUAGUCAACGCUCCGGAUGAGCUGUCUGAGCAAUGCGGGUAAAGGGACUGCACUUUACUCACCGGGGUAACGUCCGGCACCGUUAAAUGACCACAAUCUUCAGCAAUUCCAAAGGCUCGCUUCGGCGGGCCUUUCUUCAUUCC
rnacentral:sRNA from 1 species